GACGAACGCUGGCGGCGUGCUUAACACAUGCAAGUCUACGAGAACGAGAUAGCAAUAUUUUUAGUAAAGUGGCGCACGGGUGCGUAACACGUAAGCAAUCUACCUUUGGGUCUGGAAUAACUUCGAGAAAUCGAGGCUAAUACCGGAUAAUGCAGCGGCACCGCAUGGUGAUGUUGUUAAAGUUUGAGUAAUGCCUAUAGAUGAGCUUGCGUCUGAUUAGCUAGUUGGUAGGGUAAAGGCCUACCAAGGCUACGAUCAGUAGCUGGUCUGAGAGGAUGAUCAGCCACACUGGAACUGAGACACGGUCCAGACUCCUACGGGAGGCAGCAGUGAGGAAUAUUGGGCAAUGCCCGAAAGGGUGACCCAGCAACGCCGCGUGGAGGAUGAAGGCCGUAAGGUUGUAAACUCCUGUUAGAGGGGAAGAACAG
rnacentral:rRNA from 1 species